rnacentral:rRNA from 1 species
GGAAGAGCUCAAAUUUGAAAUCUGGCGUGCUCAGUGCGUCCGAGUUGUAAUCUAUAGAGGCGUUUUCCGUGCCGGACCGUGUCCAAGUCCCUUGGAACAGGGUAUCAAAGAGGGUGACAAUCCCGUACUUGACACGAUGACCGGUGCUCUGUGAUACGUCUUCUACGAGUCGAGUUGUUUGGGAAUGCAGCUCAAAAUGGGUGGUGAGUUCCAUCUAAAGCUAAAUAUUGGCGAGAGACCGAUAGCGAACAAGUACCGUGAGGGAAAGAUGAAAAGCACUUUGGAAAGAGAGUUAAACAGUACGUGAAAUUGUUGAAAGGGAAACGAUUGAAGUCAGUCGUGACUGAGAGGCUCAGCCGGUUCUGCCGGUCUAUUCCCCUCAGUUGGGUCAACAUCAGUUUUGUCCGGUGGAU